rnacentral:rRNA from 1 species
AACGAACGCUGGCGGCAGGCUUAACACAUGCAAGUCGAACGCCCCGCAAGGGGAGUGGCAGACGGGUGAGUAACGCGUGGGAAUCUACCCUGAUCUGCGGGAUAGCUCCGGGAAACUGGAAUUAAUACCGCAUAUGUCCUGAGGGACAAAGAUUUAUCGGUUCAGGAUGAGCCCGCGUCCGAUUAGCUAGUUGGUGGGGUAAAGGCCUACCAAGGCGACGAUCGGUAGCUGGUCUAAGAGGAUGAUCAGCCACAUUGGGACUGAGACACGGCCCAAACUCCUACGGGAGGCAGCAGUGGGGAAUAUUGGACAAUGGGCGCAAGCCUGAUCCAGCCAUGCCGCGUGAGUGAUGAAGGUCUUAGGAUUGUAAAGCUCUUUCACCGGGGACGAUAAUGACGGUACCCGGAGAAGAAGCCCCGGCUAACUUCGUGCCAGCCGCCGCGGUAA